AUUUCUUGAUUUCUUCUCUACCAACUUAAUUAGUUUUGAUCAUUUUUAGUGCAGAAAUGGAUUGUGUAAAACUUGUAUUCUUUAUGCUAUAUACCUUUCUUGGUCAACUUGUUUUCUCCUCAUCCUUACCUCAUUUGUGUCCCGAAGAUCAAGCUCUUGCUCUUCUACAAUUCAAGAACAUGUUUCCCAUUAAUCCUAAUGCUUCUGAUUAUUGUUUUGAAUGGAAAGAGUUUCAUUCAUAUCCGAAAACUCUUACAUGGAAUAGGAGCACAGAUUGUUGCUCAUGGGAUGGAGUACAUUGUGACAAGAUGACGGGACAGGUGAUUGAGCUCAACCUCACUUGCAGCGGACUUCAAGGCAAGUUUCAUUCCAAUUGUAGCCUCUUUCAACUUUCCAAUCUCAAAAGGAUUGAUUUGUCUUUUAAUAAUUUCACUGGAUCACUCAUUUCACCUAAAUUUGGUGACUUCUCCAGUUUAACACAUCUUGAUCUAUCAGUUUCAAGUUUUUCAGGUCAAAUCCCUUCUGAAAUAUCUUAUCUAACCAAUUUAAACGUUCUUCGUAUCACGGCUGUUGAUCCAUAUGGGCUUAGACUUGGGCCUCACAAUUUUGAAUUGCUCCUUAAGAACUUGACCCAAUUAAGAGAGCUCAAACUUGACUCUGUGAACAUCUCCUCCACCAUUCCUCUAAAUUUCUCUUCUUAUUUAACAGUUCUACGGCUUCCAUACACACAGUUACGUGGGGUAUUGCCCGAAAGAGUAUUCCACCUUUCCAACUUAGAAUUCCUUCAUUUAUCAUCCAAUCCCCAGCUCAGUGUUAGGUUUCCCACAACCAAAUGGAAUAGCAGUGCAUCACUCAUGAAGUUAUAUCUCUUAGGGGUGAAUAUUACUAGUAGGAUACCUGAAUCAUUUAGCCAUCUAACUUCACUUCAUGAGUUGGACAUGGGUAAUACUAAUCUGUCAGGGUCCAUUCCUAAACCUCUAUGGAAUCUCACCAACAUAGAGAUUUUGUACCUUGAUACUAACCGUCUUGAAGGAACAAUUUCCCAGUUCUCGAUAUUUGAAAAGCUCAAGACGUUAUCACUUGGAAAUAACAACUUUGAUGGCCGACUUGAGUUCUUAUUCUUUAACAGAAGCUGGAUGCAACUUGAAUGGCUAGAUUUGCCAUCCAAUUCCCUAACUGGUCCAAUUCCAUCCAACGUAAGCGGACAGCGAAAUCUACAAUCACUCUUCUUGUCAUCAAACUACUUGAAUGGGACUAUACCUUCCUGGAUAUUCUCCCUUCCUUCACUAACAAAUUUAGAAUUGAGCAAUAACACUUUCAGCGGAAAAAUUCAGGAGUUCAAGUCCAAAACAUUAUAUUUCGUUACUCUAAAAGAAAAUAAGCUGGAAGGUCCUAUUCCAAAGUCACUCCUAAACCAGCAGAGCCUACGAGUUCUUCUCCUUUCACACAAUAAUAUCAGUGGACAGAUUGAUUCAGCUAUCUGCAAUAUGAAAACAUUGUUGCUACUAGAUUUGAAAAGUAAUAAUUUGGAGGGAACAAUUCCACAAUGUUUGGGUGAGAUGAGUACAGUUCGGAUUUUGGAUUUAAGCAACAAUGGUCUUAGUGGGACAAUUAAUCCAACUUUUACUAUUGAAAACCAAUUCAACAUCAGUAAAUUGAAUGACAAUAAACUACAGGGGAAAGUUCCAUCAUCUUUGAUCAAUUGUGAAAAAUUGGAAUUUCUAGAUUUAAGUAACAAUGAGUUGAAUGACACGUUUCCAAAAUGGUUGGGAGAGCUACCUCAUUUGCAGAUCUUAAAGUUGAGAUCAAAUAAGUUCUAUGGCCCUAUAAGGACUGACAACUUGUUUGCUCAAAUUCGAGUCAUAGAUCUCUCAUCCAACGGAUUUAGUGGAGAUCUACCAGUGAACUUGUUUCAGAAUUUUCAAGCCAUGAAAAAAAAUGGUGAGAACAGUGGAACCCCAAAGUAUGUAGCAGAUAUAUAUUCUUAUUAUUAUAAAAAUUCUUUGAUAGUGACAACGAAGGGACUGGAUCAUGAACUUCCUCGAGUUUUGACUACACAAAUAAUUAUCGAUCUCUCAAGGAAUAGAUUUGAAGGUUGUAUUCCAAACAUUAUUGGAGAUCUCGCUGGACUUCGUACGUUGAACUUAUCUCAUAAUGUCUUGGAAGGUCACAUACCAGAAUCACUGCAACAUUUAUCUGUACUUGAAUCAUUGGAUCUUUCAUCCAACAAAAUAGGCGGUGAAAUAUCACAACAAUUUGUGUCCCUUACGUCACUUGAAGUCUUAAAUCUCUCUCACAAUCAUCUUGUUGGAUGCAUCCCCAAAGGAAACCAAUUUAAUACAUUUGAGAACAAUUCAUACCAAGGAAAUGAUGGAUUACGAGGAUUACCACCCUCAAGAGAUUGUGGCGGUGAUGAUAGGGUACCACAAGCGACAAUUCCAGUUGAGCUAGACCAAGAAGAAGAAGAUUCACCAAUGAUCAGUUGGCACGCAGUUCUCAUGGGUUACGGUUGUGGACUUGUUAUUGGACUAUCUGUAAUAUACAUAAUGUGGUCAACUCAAUAUCCAACAUGGUUUUGGAGGAUGGAUUUAAAAUUGGAACACAAAAUUAGUACGAGAAUGAAAAGGCACAAGAAAAGAUAUUAGUGUGCACUGACCUGCAGGUAUUCAACUUGAUCUUUAUCCUUCAAAAGACUACUUCUUAUAUAUCGAUUUAUUAGUGUGUAAGUUUAAUUCUUUAUUUUUGAAAAUUGCAGGAUUCAAGUCUACUGAUCAGUUGCUGAUGAUGCAGAUAAAAGCCUUUAUCUUUCAUAGUUUGUGAUGUUUCCAUAAAGUGUUUGUUAUCCUAUGAAUAAAGACAUGACUUUUCUUCCUUGAGACUCAAAUCAGAUUAUGUUUUCAUUUGUCUAUGGCUUGUAGAAAUAAAUUCGACUGAUAAACAGAAAUCGGACACAAACUGCUUAAUCUGUGUCUGUAUUUACAUUGACUCCUCUAAAUUCCAAACCUUCCUGGUAUGACAUAUCAUACCACCCCAAAUACCUUCCAGUUCCAAAUAAAUUUUCUAAAUAUCUAGCUAGAUAGAGUUUUGGAUGUGGAAAAUCCACUCGAGCUGGUGCGCUAUGGAGAAGGAGUUGUGUUCAAAGUAGAUUUUCAUCGCUACUCAAGUUUGCAUUAACAAAGUGACAUCCUACUCCUAAAAUACAAUGAAUUCCAUUGCAGCAUAGAGUGAUCCCAUAUCUAUUGGUUGAACUAUUUUGAGGCAUUUGAUGUAGACUUUGUAGGAAAACAAUAACGAAUUAGCUCAAGGAGUACUAAAAGUUCCGUUAAAGAAAAUUCUUAAAAACUACAUGUGACAACUCGUACUAUAAGAGCAUGCAAGUUUGAGUCCUCUUCAAAGCAUAAUAUUAGUGUAACACCCCGUAUUCGAAACAGACCAAAUUGCAGAUUUUUAGAAGUUGCAGGUGCGACUUACGGUCACCAUCCAUGGACCGUAGGUCAGACCACGGCCCGUGCUGGUGGUCCGUGGUUCACCACUGCAACCCUCCCCAAAUCAGCUCAGAAAAAUUGGCUAAGUCCCGACUCACGGACAGACCUACGGUCCGUAGAUCAGACCACGGUCCGUGGUCUGAGUCCGUGGAUCGAGACUUCCCUUACCUAGCCUUUGAAACAAACUACGGUCAACCAGUACGGACCGUCAUUCGAUCCACGGUCCGUAGGUCUGACCGUAGAUGAGGGUCAAGCAACCAGUUAGAUGAAAAUUGUGGUUAAGUCAACUUCAGAUGGUCAUAACUCUUAGCACAAAAUGAAUUAUGUGUCCCAUUACCUAUGGUUAGAUAGAUAAUUGAAUUAUCUCUCCAACGCCACUGAGUUUGCUAAAUUCUGACCUCCGAGUAAAAAGUUAUGCUCGUUUUAGUGAAGCCCUGUCGGGCAGACUCGACUUACGGACCCAAUCGACGGUCCGUCUAUUGAACUACGGCCCGUCAGUCCAGUUCGUCGAUUGGUCCGACAGCAGUUAAUUCAAGGGUCUUUUGGUCUUUUCCUCUUUCGUUUAACCCCUAAGAUACGUCGUUUAAACCCUAAAUCAUAAGGUUUUAGUCAGUUUAAGCCUAGAAACAUAACUAGAACUUACCUAAGUCAAAUCAUUAAUCAAAACUUAGAAAAUUAGAAGCAAGAGAGGAGAAAAAGGUCAAGAACCCUAGUUCAAGAACCCUACAAGGUUCCAUCAGUUCCAGCCUCGAAAUUGAAAGAUUUCUCCGUGGAAUUCGUCACCAGGUAUGUGGGAUUUCACUAGUGGGUUCCUUUCACCCAUUAGGUCCCUAGAAUUCAGUCAGAUUCUUGAUUCCAUGAUUAUGAACAGACCUAGGGUUUCUAGAAUUACAACAGAUCAUCAUGAAUUAGUUAUUUAAAUGUUCCAAAUCAAAUUAUCAUGUUAUUGCUGAGCUUCUCGCAUGAAUUUUAGAACCCUAGCUAUGUAUUUCUUUAGUUCUUGAAUUACACAUGCUAGGUCAAAUAUUUNNNNNNNNNNNNNNNNNNNNNNNNNNNNNNNNNNNNNNNNNNNNNNNNNNNNNNNNNNNNNNNNNNNNNNNNNNNNNNNNNNNNNNNNNNNNNNNNNNNNNNNNNNNNNNNNNNNNNNNNNNNNNNNNNNNNNNNNNNNNNNNNNNNNNNNNNNNNNNNNNNNNNNNNNNNNNNNNNNNNNNNNNNNNNNNNNNNNNNNNNNNNNNNNNNNNNNNNNNNNNNNNNNNNNNNNNNNNNNNNNNNNNNNNNNNNNNNNNNNNNNNNNNNNNNNNNNNNNNNNNNNNNNNNNNNNNNNUUAUUAGUAGCUCCCACAGUUCAGUCAGACUCUAUUGCAUUGACCAUAUUUCAGUACGGUCAGUAUUCAGUCUCAGCAUGUUAUAAAUUUGGUCAUUGCAUCAGUUAGCUCAGUAUUCAGUAUUUUCAGUAUCUAUAUCAUGUUCAGAUUAUUUCAUUGCUUUAUUGCUUUGUUCAGUGAUAUGUUAUUUCAGCUGUAUUCUAUCCUGCAUGUUUAGUACCUUUCAAGUACUGAUGCAUACGUGCGCUAUAUCUUCUCGUGAUGUAGGUUCAGGUUCUCAGCAUCCAGAUCACGCUUAGAUCGAUUCCCGAUCUUCAGUUCAGCUGCACCAGUGGUGAGUCCUCAUUCUUCGUGGACUAGUGACAUGUUUAUCUUUAUCGCUUUUAGUCUUUAGUUUCAGUUUUGAUAGAUCUAGUUGGGGCAUGUUCCAACAUUUCUAGUCAGUUUAGAGGCUUAUUUCAGACAUAGUUAGAUUUAGCUUAGUAUUGAGUUAAUAUUUUCUUUGUAUUAAACUCAUCAAUUUUUCAUAUAUCUCAGAUAUAGUAUAUGGGUAUUCCCCAUCAUUUCAGACUUACUUUAUGAUUUAGCUUCCGCAUCAGUUAUUAUUAUCUUUAGUAUGCUCAUGAUCAUGCCAGCAGGGUUAGCUUGGGAUCACUUGUGGUCCUAGGUCCCGUGUCCGCGUCUUGGGGGUAGUCUCGGGGCGUGACAAUUAGGGCUCAUCAAAUGUGCGUUCUCAACAACAGAGCUCGGAUCAUUAAUUAACAGUAUCAUUUCACUUCACAUCCUAGCACUAUCAUUCUCUGGAAAAACUUAACAGCAACUUCAGAGCACCCGUUCUUCAUGUACCCAUAAAUCAUACGAGUCUAUGAAUAAACAUCUCUAGAAGGCAUGUAAGAAAACAUCAAGAACCCCAAACCCAUUUUUCCCUCAAGCAUUGCAUUAACUAAAUUCAGUAUCAUUAUUAUCAGUUAACUAUCUCCUGGGGCCUAUUCGACUGAUAAACAGAAAUUGGAAACUACUUGAAUCAUUCGAUCAAUUUCCAACUGAGAUAAUAGCAGAAGUCGUAUGCUUAAUUUAUGGGUUGCUCAUGGCUUUGUGUCAUUUAAGUACCUAAAGAAGAAUUUGAGUGUACAUAAGACUAAUUGGUAAGGUUCUACUGGUUUAAAAUAUAAUGUUUAGGGAUCACGUACAACGCGCAAGGACAAGAUCUUAGUAAAACAUGUGAUAAUCUGCUGUCAGGAUAUUGGAAUCACAUUAAAGUUCCUAAAAGACUUAGCUUCCAAUGUCUUUUCUGGUGAAGAGCUAAAGAUUAUUGGAAAUGCUGAUAAGUAAUUGAUUACUUGUCUGUAUAUUUGUCACAUUGUUCCCUGGCCAAAAUUUUAGGAAAUAGAUGCAUUGUUGAGCGUAUGCUCGAAACCAAUUAAGGAUACGAAAAGUUCUGUCACAACAAAUUCUUAAAAGGGUAUAUGCAUAGUACACUUAUCCUAACUAUCAAAACCUUCUUUUUUUUUUUACCUUUUAAGUUAAAGUCUAUACACAAAGUAACACUCUUAUCCUGACUAAUCAAGACUUUAACGGAUUUUCGAUUUGGGACAGUAAGUAAUACCUUAAAAUCACCAGAACUGCAAAUCCAAACAAAUUUACAUGACAAAUUGUGAGAAUAAACCGACAUCAAUUGCAUAAAAUUUUGGACGAGAAAAACUCUUAAAAAUGGUGUAAUAUCAUUGGCUUUGGGUAAAACUUGCACAGUUUCCUCUUAAAUGUUCACUUUAUACAUAUCUUCUUUUUAUCUUACCAACUUCUAAUGCAAGACUUUUUUCAUACACCCAACCGACAUAAGAGAGCCAAAACAACUUUUGUAUGUGUUGUGUGUGGAGAGUUGUUAAGAGAGACACGUUGAAUGUGAAUAUGUAAUUGACAACUCUAAAAUUGACUGAACAUGACAAGGUGACCUUCCUGAAAUUGAUUACUCCAAAGCAACAACUAAAUGUACAUAGUAAAUUUCUUUUCUUAGUUUGUGCUAUAUAUACCUCAUCAAACUUACUGAAUAUAGACACACAACAAACAUUUCUUGAUUUCUUCUCUACCAACUUAAUUAGUUUUGAUCAUUUUAGAGCAAAAAUGGGUUAUGUAAAACUUUUAUUUUUUAUGCUAUAUACCGUUCUUUGUCAACUUGCUUUCUCGUCAUCCUUGUGCCCCAAAGAUCAAGCUCUUUCUCUUCUACAAUUCAAGCACAUGUUUACCAUUAAUCUUGAUGCUUCUUAUGAUUGUGAGUUUUCUCAUCCAAAAACUCGUUCAUGGAACAAGAGCAUGGAUUGUUGCUCAUGGAAUGGAGUUCAUUGUGACAAGACAACAGGACAAGUGAUUGAGCUUGAUCUCCGUUGCAGCGAACUUCAAGGCAAGUUUCAUUCCAAUAGUAGCCUCUUUCAACUCUUCAAUCUCAAAAGGCUUGAUUUGUCGUAUAAUGAUUUCACUGGAUCACUCAUUUCACCUAAAUUUGGUGAGUUUUCAAGUUUGACGCAUCUUGAUUUGUCGCAUUCAAGAUUUACAGGUCUAAUCCCUUCUGAAAUAUCUCACCUUUCUAAAUUACACGUUCUUUUUAUAUGGAACCCCUCGGGUGGUUUAUAUGACCUUAGUCUUAGUCUUGGGCCUCACAAUUUUGAACUUCUCCAUCAGAACUUGACCCAAUUAAGAGAGCUUGACCUUUAUGGUGUGAACAUCUCUUCCACCAUUCCUUCAAUUUUUUCUUCUCAUUUAACAACUCUAGCACUUUCAGACACACAUUUAUGUGGGAUAUUGCCCGAAAGUGUUUUCCACCUUUCCAACUUAAAAACUCUCGAUUUGUCAUACAAUCACAAGCUCACAGUUAGGUUUCCCAUAACCAAAUGGAAUAGCAGCGCAUCACUCAUGUACUUAAAUCUCUAUGAUGUGAAUAUUACUGGUAGGAUACCUGAAUCAUUUAGCCAUCUAAUUGCACUUCAUGACUUGGACAUGGUUAGUCUAAUCUGUCAGGGCCUAUUCCUAAACCUCUAUGCAAUCUAACCCACAUAGAGAGUUUGUCCCUUAAUGAUAACCAUCUUGAAGGACCAUUGAGCCUUUUUCAGAAUUUUCAAGCAAUGAAAACAAUUGGUGAGAACAGUGGAACCCGAGAGUAUGUAGCAGAUAAAUUUUCUUUUUUUUACACUAAUUCUAUGAUAGUGACAACAAAGGGACUGGAUCAUGAACUUCCUAGAGUUUUGACUACACAAAUAAUUAUCGAUCUCUCAAGGAAUAGAUUUGAAGGUCAUAUUCCAAACAUUAUUGGAGAUCUCGUUGGACUUCGUACCUUGAACUUAUCCCAUAAUGUCUUGGAAGGUCAUAUACCAGCAUCAUUGCAAAAUUUAUCAGUACUCAAAUCAUUGGAUCUCUCAUCUAACAAAAUCAGCGGAGAAAUUCCGCAGCAGCUUGCAUCCCUCACAUUUCUUGCAGUCUUGAAUCUCUCUCACAAUCAUCUUGUUGGAUGCAUCCCUAAAGGAAAACAAUUUGAUACGUUUGAGAACAGUUCAUACCAAGGAAAUGUUGGAUUAUGAGGAUUGCCACCCUCAAGAGAUUGUGGCCGUGAUGAUAGGGUACCACAAGCGACAAUUCCAGUUGAGCUAGAUCAAGAAGAAGAAGAAGAUUCACCAAUGAUCAAUUGGCAGGCGGUUCUCAUGGGUUACGGUUGUGGACUUAUUAUUGGAUUGUCCGUAUAAUAUGUAAUGUCUUCAACUCAAUAUCCAAAAUGGUUUUCGAGGAUGGUUGUAAAAUUGGAAGACAAACUUAUUACAAGAAUGAAAAAGUAGAGGAAAAGAUAUUAGUGUAUAGUUACCUCCAGGUAUUCAACUUGAUCAUUGUCCUUCAGAAGAUUAUUUUUUAUAUAUCGAUGAAAUUAUCGACCUCCUUCAUCCUCAAAGCUCUUAACUUUAACUCUUCAUUUUUGUAAAUUUCAGGAUUCAAGAGUUCCGAGUUCCGAGUUGCUGGGGAUGCAGAUAAAGCCUUUUUAUCGUUCAUAGUUUGUAAUGUUUCCAUGAAGUGUUUCUUAUCCUAUGAAUAAAUAUUUUGUUUUCAUUUGUCUAUGGCAUGCAGCUAUGUUCCAUCACUAAAAACAUUGUAUUUCUCUCAACUCUUUUGUCACAUGAUAUCAUAACACAAACAAAGAACACUUGAAUCAAAACCUGGAAGAAACAUCAGGAAACCAUGAAUCAAAGUUGCAGUAGUCUACUAUAUUAACUUUUUUCGUUGAAGCACAACCGACAUAUCAUGAGAAAGAGACUGUGAUCUCAGAAAUGAGAAUUUACCAAUCCACAACCCUGCAGUAUCUACUGGAACUUUUUUCUGUCGCUUCUUCUUGCCCCAAUCUCAGGAACAUUUCAUUCUUGACUGGUCCUUGAUGCAAUAAAUUAAAUCGUGAGUGGAAUUUGUUAAUCUAGUAGCUAAUUAAUGCUCGAAGAAGAUGAAUGCUAAUUCAGGGACUUAGCCGAGAAUUAUAGCUGAAAGAGAAAUGUAGAAGAAGAAGAGAUUGAUCUUAUUUCAUGAAUGAAUAACAUUUUGCAAUCAUAGACAGAGGAAUGAAACUAAUGGCCUAACGAACACUCUGUGAAUAGUGAACAGUACUAACCCAUACCGUGAAGUCUCCAGGAUACAAAUAUUUGGCCUUCGAAAGCAAACUUUUUCUCUCUAAAUACAAGCUUUAUUUUCAUAGUUUCUGAUGUUUCAUCUUACAUUUUUUUAUUACUACCUGUUGUUUCUUUAGCCUCGAUUACUGUAUUAUCUUGUUGUUUUUUCUGCUUGUUGCUACUAUGCCUUCUUUUACAUCGAAAAUAACCUCUCUAACUUCAAGGUAGUGGUAAGGUCUGCGUACACAGUAUACUCCCAAGACAGCCAGGCCCCACUGUCUUCCAUCAGCAGCUCAAUUCUUGUUUCUGUCAAGUUGUAUGGUGUGUGUUAAGAGAGCAAAGCAAAGAUACUUUUUGUGACAUUCAAACAAAAUGCAUGUGUUAUUACAAGUGGUGGGACUUUGUGUUUGAAUCUUUCUAUGCUAUCUUAUUUAUCUUCCCUUCCAUCACUCGUAAACAUACAUUUCAAAGGGAUCAAAAUUGAAUCAAAUUAUUCUACAUGCCUAAAUUCCUUUAUUAUUGUGUUAUCAAAUAACUACAUCAACUCUAAAAUACUCAUAUAUAUGAGUAGUAAUUUUCAUUUGAAGAGUACUUUUAUGGAACUAUUUAGUUGUGUAAAUUUUAUUUCAAGAUAAGCAAAAGAAGUCGAUAUGUGAAUUUACUCCGAAAAUUUUAAGAAGUGACCUUCAUUUUAAAUUUUCUUUGGAACGAAAAAAUGGAUGGAUGGACCUAAGAUCGUGCUGAAAGACGGAGUCGAUGGACAACAUGUAAAUAUCAUAACUUUUACUAUUUUAAUUAACAUUUGAAUUGAGCUUGAUUUUCAUUGGAACAAACUCUAAUUCUUUUGAUAAAAAUUAAAUUUGCUAACAAAUACAAUGACGAAUGCUUUAACAUGUGUAUCCUAAGGAGGAGAGAAAGCAAAGUAAAAAAAUUAUUCUUGUUUUUUUGUUUUGUAAUAGAAAGUGAACCAAAACAAAGACCUUUUAUGUGACCUCUUCGUCUAUAAUAAGCACAUGUGAUUGUCAACUUCAAAUUGACAGAAAAUGACUACUUAACCAAUAGAGAUUUUUUUUUGCUUAAUUUGUGCUAUAUAUACGUCAUCAAAAUUGUUGAAUAGACACAAAAGCAAACAUUUCCUGAUUUCUUCACUGCCAACUUAAUUAGUUUUUGACCAUUUUAGUGAAGAAAUGGGUUGUGUAAAAGUUGUGUUUUUUAUGCUAUAUCCCUUUCUCUGUCAACUUGCUUUCUCCUCAUCCUCACCUCAUUUGUGCCCCCGAAGAUCAAGCUCUUGCUCUUCUACAAUUCAAGAACAUGUUUACCGUGAGACCUACUUCUUAUGGUUGUUACGACUAUACAGACCAAAGGAUGAAGUCAUAUCCAAGAACUCUUUUCUGGAACAAGAGCACCGAUUGCUGCUCAUGGGAUGGAGUUCAUUGUGACGAGACAACAUGACAAGUGAUUGAGCUUGAUCUCCGUUGCAGCCAACUUCAAGGCAAGUUUCGUUCCAAUAGUAGCCUCUUUCAACUCUUCAAUCACAAAAGGCUUGAUUUGUCUUAUAACGAUUUCUUUGAAUCGCUCAUUUCACCUAAAUUUGGUGAGUUCUCUAGAUUGACGCAUCUUGAUUUGUCGAGUUCACGUUUUACAGGUCUAAUCCCUUGUGAAAUCUCUCAUCUUUCUAAAUUAUACGUUCUUCGUAUAUGGACUGUAUUUCCAUAUGGCCUUAGACUUGGGCCUCACAAUUUUGAACUACUCCUUAAGAACUUGACUCAAUUAAGAGAUCUCGACCUUUACUCUGUGAACAUCUCUUCCACUAUUCCUCUGAAUUUCUCUUCUUAUUUAACAAAUUUACAGCUUCAACACACACAAUUUCGUGGGGUAUUUCCCGAAAGAGUUUUCCACCUUUCCGAUUUAGAAUUCCUUGAUUUAUCUCACAAUCCCCAGCUCACAGUUAGGUUUCCCACAACCAAAUGGAAUAGCAGUGCAUCACUCAUGUACUUAAAUCUCUAUGAUGUGAAUAUUAAUGGUAGGAUACCUGAAUCAUUUAGCCAUCUAACUUCACUUCAUAUGUUGAACAUGGGUAAUACUAAUCUGUCAGGGCCCCUUCCUAAACCUCUAUGGAAUCUCACCAACAUAGAGAGUUUGUUCCUUGGUAGUAACCAUCUUGAAGGACUAAUUUCCCUGUUAUCGAGAUUUGAAAAGCUCAAGGAAUUAUUACUUGGAAAUAACAAUUUUGAUGGCCGACUUGAGUUCUUAUCCUUUAACAGAAGCUGGAUGCAACUCGAUACCUUAGAUUUUUCGUCCAAUUACCUAACUGGUCCAAUUCCAUCCAACGUAAGUGGACUGCGAAACCUAAAACAGCUCUUCUUGUCAUCAAGCUACUUGAAUGGGACUAUACCUUCCUGGAUAUUCUCCCUUCCUUCACUGAUAGCGUUAGACUUAAGCAAUAACACUUUCAGUGGAACAGUUCAAGUCCAAAACAUUAAAUGUCGUUACUCUAAAUCAAAAUAAGCUGGAAGGUCCUAUUCCAAAGUCACUCCUAAACCAGCAGUUCCUACUAGGUCUUCUCUUUUCACACAAUAACAUCAGUGGACGUAUUGCUUCAGCUAUCUGCAAUCUGAAAACAUUGCAAGUAUUAGAUUUGAGAAGUAAAAUUUUGGAGGGAACAAUCCCACAAUGUUUGGGUGAGAUGAGUGCAGUUGAGAUUUUGGAUUUGAGCAACAAUAGUCUUAGUGGGACAAUUAAUACAACUUUUAGUAUUCGAAACCGACUCAACAUCAUUAAAUUGCAUAGUAAUAAGCUAGAGGGGAAAGUUUCACAAUCUUUGAUCAAUUGUAAAUAUUUAGAACUUCUUGAUUUAGGUAACAAUGAGUUGAAUGACACGUUUCCAAAAUGGUUGGGAGAGCUACCUCAUUUGCAGAUCUUAAAGUUGAGAUCAAAUAAGUUCUAUGGCCCUAUAAGGAUUGACAACUUGUUUGCUCAAAUUCGAGUCAUAGAUCUCUCAUCCAAUGGAUUUAGUGGAGAUUUACCAUUGAGUCUUUUUCAGAAUUUUCAAGCCAUGAAAACAAAUGGUGAGAACAAUGGAACCCGAGAGUAUGUAGCAGAUACAUUUUUUUUUUACUUACACUAAUUCUAUGAUAGUGACAACAAAGGGACUGGAUCAUGAACUUCCUGGAGUUUUGACUACACAAAUAAUUAUCAAUUUCUCAAUGAAUAGAUUUGAAGGUCAUAUUCCAAGCAUUAUUGGAGAUCUCGUUGGACUUCGUACCUUGAACUUAUCUCAUAAUGUCUUGGAAGGUCAUAUACCAGCAUCAUUGCAAAAUUUAACUGUACUCGAAUCGUUGGAUCUCUCAUCUAACAAUAUCAGUGGAGAAAUUCUGCUGCAGCUUGCAUCCCUCACAUUUCUUGCAGUCUUAAAUCUCUCUCACAAUUAUCUUGUUGGAUGCAUCCCCAAAGGAAAACAAUUUGAUACGUUUGAGAACAGUUCAUACCAAGGAAAUGAUGGAUUACGAGGAUUGCCACCCUCAAGAGAUUGUGGUCGUGAUGAUAGGGUACCACAAGAGACAAUUCCAGUUGAGCUAGAUCAAGAAGAAGAAGAAGAAGAUUCACCAAUGAUCAAUUGGCAGGCGGUUCUUAUGGGUUAUGGUUGUGGACUUGUUAUUGGACUGUCUGUAAUAUACGUAAUGUGGUCAACUCAAUAUCCAGCAUGGUUUUCGAGGAUGGAUUUAAAAUUGGAACACAGAAUUACUACGAGAAUGAAAAAGUACAAGAAAAGAUAUUAGUGAGUAGCGACCCCCAGGUAUUCAACUUGAUCUUUAUCUUUCUUAAGAUCAUUUUAUAUGUCAAUGUGUUUUCAACCUCCUUCAUCGUCAGAGCUCUUACCUUAAUUCUUUAUUUUUGAAAAUUGCAGGAUUCAAGUCUACUGAGUUGUGGGGGAUGCAGAUAAAAGUCUUUAUUUUUCAUAGUUUGUGGUGUCUCCAUAAAGUAUUUGUUAUACUAUGAAUAAAGACAUGACUUUUCUUCCUUUGAGACUCAACCAGAUUUUGUUUUCAAAUGUCUAUGGCAUAUAGAAAUAAACGGAAAUCGGACACAAACUUGAAUCUUUAAAUCAUUCAAUCAGAGUAUUUCACUCAACUCUUUCACAUAACACAAAUAUAGAACACUCGAAUUUAAGUUCAGAAACAUAAAAAUCUGUAGUUACAGAUUUCAGAAAUAUUCUUUUACAGACACAUGAUGGUCCUUUAUCAAAAGAUCGAAGGAACAUCAGGAAACCAUGGACCAAAGUUGCAGUCUGCUAUCUUUAACUUUUUUCAUUGAAGCAGUAGCAAUUAACAUAUAAUCUAGAUUCUAUUCAACCUCCUUUAUGAUAUUAGUAAGAUAAAUGAAACAGUGCUAAAUCAAGAAAUGAAGAAAGCUGUAAAGUAUUCCGCUGCUGCUUAUUAGAAUAGGCUCAGACUCUUUUGAGACAUUAGAUGGUGAACUGAUCAAAUGGACGAAAAAGGCCUAUUAUUGUGUUAAAAGGUGUAUUAGAAUAAUCUCAUAUCCAUUGGGAGGACUGUUUUGAGCCAUUAGAACCAGGUAAAAGAAUAAGUUCUGUCACAACAAAUUCUAGGAAAUAGACGCAUUAUUGAGCUUAUGCUCGAAAUCAAUUAAGGGUACGAAAAGUUCUGUCACAACAAAUUCUUAAAAGGGUAUAAUAUGCAUACACUUAUCCUAUCAAAACCUUCUUGCUUUUUUUUUUUUUUUACCUUUAAAGUUAAAGUCUAUACACAAAGUAACACUCUUAUCUUCUUUUUUUCUUAAUGCAAGACUUUGUUCAUACACCCAACCAAUUAUCAAACUACUUGAUUCAGAACAAUACAUGCCAUCCUGGAUAUCCUCCGUUCCAUCACUAAACUUUGAGGACUAUAACAAUGUGUUUCUUCCGUUCUACUCUCCGAGAAGACAAGAACAGCAGUCUCACUCUCACACUCACCUAUAAGUUCCAGGAAGAUACAAAAAAAUGUUUAAUCAGUGGUAUUGAAACUAUGAAGAACAUGCCAUGUAUGGACUUCUGCACUGUCUUCCAUCAGCAGGUCAAUUCUUGUGGAAAAUUGGCUCGAGCUGGUGCACUAUGUAGGCGCUGUAUUCAGAGUAGAUUUCCAGUCUAACCUUAAUGCAUUAGCAAAGUGACACUCCUAUUCUUAAGGUAUAAAGUUGUUAUGUUUCUUUCAAAGUUUACACACUCCUAUCCUAAACAAUUUUGUUGUGUGGUGGUCCUAUUCCUGGAAUCCAAUUAAGUUGGCAAAACAAAGAUAUUUUUUUGUCGAUAAUAACGUUGCACACAAAAUGCAUGUGUAAUGUGUUAUAUACAAGUGGUGGGACUUUGUGAUUUGACUUAAGAAUGUGAACUAUUGAUAGUUUCCGGCAUUCACUUGUGUGACACAUUGAAUGGGCAUAUGUGAUUCACAACUUCAAAUUGACUGAAAAUGACUACGUAACCAAUAGUAAAAUUCUCUUUGCUUAAUUUGUGUUAUAUAUACCUCAUCAAAAUUGUUGAAUAAACACACAAAGCAAAAUAUUUCUUGAUUUCUUCUCUACCAACUUAAUUUAGUUUUGAUCAUUUUUUAGUGCAGAAAUGGAUUGUGUAAAACUUGUAUUGUUUAUGCUAUAUACCUUUCUCGGUCAACUUAUUUUCUCCUUAUCCUUACCUCAUUUGUGCCCCGAAGAUCAAGCUCUUGCUCUUCUACAAUUCAAGAACAUGUUUCCCAUUAAUCCUAAUGCUUCUGAUUAUUGUUUUAAAUUUAAAGAGUUUCAUUCAUAUCCGAAAACUCUUACAUGGAAUAGUAGCACAGAUUGUUGCUCAUGGGAUGGAGUACAUUGUGACAAGAUGACGGGACAGGUGAUUGAGCUCAACCUCACUUGCAGCGGACUUCAAGGCAAGUUUCAUUCCAAAUUGUAGCCUCUUUCAACUUUCCAAUCUCAAAAGGAUUGAUUUGUCUUUUAAUAAUUUCACUGGAUCGCUCAUUUCACCUAAAUUUGGUGACUUCUCCAGUUUAACACAUCUUGAUCUAACAGUUACAAGUUUUUCGGGUCAAAUCCCUUCUGAAAUAUCUCAUCUUUCAAAAUUACACGAUCUUCGUAUCUCUAAUGUUUAUCCAUAUGAGC
rnacentral:lncRNA from 1 species